rnacentral:lncRNA from 1 species
CUGUGGCUAGUGAGUGUCUGGGGCCUAUUGCAUAGUAUAGUAGUAAAAAAACGCGACAUUCAGACGGCGUUGUAUUGCAGAACCUGUCUGCAAACUCUGCAUGAACCAAGGUGCUGUUUGGUUCACGAAAUGUAACGUAAAGGGUAAUGGUAAUGAUUUACACUUGAUUACGGGCGGUAACAAGUUUGAAUAGUCCGGUAUCAAAUUUUAGUACGGUAUCUGAUUACGGUUGGACUAAAACAAACAUGAUUUAACGUAAUCAUUUACUCAUUACGUUUAGAGAUGGCCAAACGGGCCGGCCCGGCCCGGCCCGGCCUGGGCCCGGUGAAGCCCGGCCAAAACCGGGCCGAGCCUGCUGAGCCAGUGGGCUUAAUUUUCUGUCCAAGCCCGGCCCGCAGCGGGCCUAAACGGACCGGGCCGACCCGUUUAGCACGAAAAAACGGGCCGAAAAGCGGGCUAAACGGGCCGGUAAGCACGUUUUAGUGUAAAAAAAACGGGCUUAGAGGUAAACGGGCCGUGCCGGGCUAGCCCGCUGUGCCUAGUUUCCUGUCCAAGCCCGCCCGCUUAUUCUACCGUGCCGGGCUCGGACCGGGCCCAAAAAGCGGGCUUCGUGCCGGGCUCACGGGCCUCGUGCUUUUUGGCCAUCUAUAAUUACGUUACAAAUAUUUGAACCAAACGGUACCCAAGUGAGAAGGAACAAUGCUUUUGGCAGAGAAUUUUAGUUGCAUUAUUUCUUCACCUCGCUUCCCGCGAGAUCACCGGCUAGUUAGAGGAAAACGCAGGUAAAAACGAUUACAACACGCGC